rnacentral:ribozyme from 13 species
UUUUUUUUUUUUUUUUUUUUUUUUUUUUUUUUUUUUUUUUUUUUUACAAUGUACCACCAACGAAGGAGUGUCAGAGACG